rnacentral:rRNA from 1 species
UACGGAGGGUGCAAACGUUGCUCGGAAUCAUUGGGCGUAAAGCGCACGUAGGCGGCUUAGCAAGUUGGAUGUGAAAUCCCUCGGCUCAACCAAGGAAGUGCAUCCAAAACUGCUGAGCUUGAGUACUUAAGAGGAUCGCGGAAUUCCCGGUGUAGAGGUGAAAUUCGUAGAUAUCGGGAGGAACACCAGUGGCGAAGGCGGCGAUCUGGGAAGAUACUGACGCUGAGGUGCGAAAGCGUGGGGAGCAAACAGG